rnacentral:rRNA from 1 species
AUUGAACGCUGGCGGCAGGCCUAACACAUGCAAGUCGAGCGGAUGAAGAGAGCUUGCUCUCUGAUUUAGCGGCGGAAGGGUGAGUAAUGCCUAGGAAUCUGCCUGGUAGUGGGGGAUAACGUUCCGAAAGGAACGCUAAUACCGCAUACGUCCUACGGGAGAAAGCAGGGGACCUUCGGGCCUUGCGCUAUCAGAUGAGCCUAGGUCGGAUUAGCUAGUUGGUGAGGUAAUGGCUCACCAAGGCUACGAUCCGUAACUGGUCUGAGAGGAUGAUCAGUCACACUGGAACUGAGACACGGUCCAGUCUCCUACGGGAGGCAGCAGUGGGGAAUAUUGGACAAUGGGCGAAAGCCUGAUCCAGCCAUGCCGCGUGUGUGAAGAAGGUCUUCGGAUUGUAAAGCACUUUAAGUUGGGAGGAAGGGCAGUAAGUUAAUACCUUGCUGUUUUGACGUUACCGACAGAAUAAGCACCGGCUAACUUCGUGCCAGCCGCCGUGGUAACAC